AUGGAAGAUCUCGUCCUGGUAUACCACAUCACCGCGGCAACCAAAUGGCCCAAGGAACUCCGCCCACUCCUGCAGGAGAAGAAGCUGUACACCUUUGUUGGCUUCUCCUUUGGAGGUGACAAGGAGAAGCUGAAGUUGUCUGGUUUGGAGAUCAACCCCGACAACCUCAUCCACCCAUCCUACAAGGAAAUGAAGGGGAAGAUCAACAAGAAAUUGGACCACAAACGCUGGGGGGAUAGCCCACCGCCAAACAACCUCAUCGAGUACACAGCGAAAGAUGCGUACGUCACCUACGAGGCAUGGAAGAAAAUCGAAACCGUCAAAGAAGGUUUGGAGCAAUGGCAAGAGGCGGAGGAAAAUUGGGAUGACCCCUACUACUGGGGAUAUUGA
rnacentral:rRNA from 1 species